rnacentral:lncRNA from 1 species
AGAGGAAUGAGGGAGAUAUAUUAUUCAAUUGGGAAUGGGUUAUUUCAGGUUGAAAUAUAAAUAUAUGAUUAUAAUAUUAUCUGUGUAAUAUAUAAUAUUAUCUGUGGUCCCCUAAGGAAGCCUUUCUUUCCCAGGGGACCACAGAGAAUAUUCAGAGAGUGAGGUGGAGAAGAAAGAAUGGUCUUUACUUUGGGGAUAAGAGUAAGUAGCUGCUCAGGGAGAAUGAGGUGGAGGAGACGAUCUAGAAAUCUGGAGCCAAACUCUGAAGUGUAUUCAACAUAGGAUCUAUCUCUUAGAAACUGUCAGGAAAAGAACGGAUAUAGUUGAGUGCAUAGUUAACUUUUGAGAUUUCA